rnacentral:rRNA from 1 species
CGCUGAGUUUGAUCCUGGCUCAGGAUGAACGCUAGCGGCAGGCCUAAUACAUGCAAGUCGAACGGUGUAGCAAUACAUAGUGGCGCACGGGUGCGUAACACGUAUGCAACCUACCUUAUACUUAGGGAUAGCCUUUGGAAACGGAGAUUAAUACCUGAUGGUAUAUUUAGCUGGCAUCGGUUAAAUAUUAAAGAUUUAUUGGUAUAAGAUGGGCAUGCGUCCAAUUAGUUAGUUGGUGGGGUAAUGGCUCACCAAGACGAUGAUUGGUAGGGGAACUGAGAGGUUAAUCCCCCGACACUGGCACUGAGACACGGACCAGACUCCUACGGGAGCAGCAGUGAGGAAUAUUGGACAAUGGGCGCAAGCCUGAUCCAGCCCAUGCCGCGUGCAGGAUGACGGUCCUAUGGAUUGU